rnacentral:lncRNA from 1 species
CCUUCUUUGUGGCUCCGGAAGAGGAUUGUGAAGUUUAGGUUUCGUGGAAGAAACCGAUAAUUGAGGAAAAAAAAAAAUCAAGAUUUGGGGGGAAUUACCUACAAAGAUGUAAGGUGUGUUAAUUUGGGCGCUUCUUGGAUUCUACCCUGAGGAGGAGGCGCGUGGUGAGAGGAGAGCUCCACCAGCUGCGCGCUCGUGUACGCCGUCCGCGCCCGCUUGGACGCCGCC